UUUAAUAAGUCUUAAGUUAUCUUUUGCGUGACGUUCUUCAAUCAAUCUUUCUAAUGGCCAAAUCUUGCAUCUCAUUUCCUUUCGUUCAUUCUCUCUCCUCCUCCUCCUCCUCCUCCUCCUCCUCUGUCUAUCUUCAUUCCAUCCUUCCUUUUAAUAAGUCCAAGUUAUCUUUUGCUUAAUUAACGUUUAUAAUUCUUUCUGGUGGUCAAAUCUUGCAUCUCAUUUUCCUAUCGUCCAUUCUCUCUCCUCCUCCUCCUCCUCCUGCUCAUAAUCCAAUUCCUUCUAUUCUCCUUUAUUCCUUUUUCACUUUCCCUCCUUCCCUUUUCCAUUCCCCCUCCCCGAUUUUCCUCCAUUCUUUCCUCCUCUAUUCUUCCUUCAUCUCCUUCUCCUUUUUCUCCUUUCACUCCUCCUCCUCCUCCUCUGUCUGUCUUCAUCCCUUCCUUCCUUUUAAUUAAUGUCUAAGUUAUCUUUUGCUCAAGGUUCCUUCCAGUGUGUUUGUGGUGCCCGGCUCUGCUUGCUAGUUUGUUUUGUCACUGUAUAAUUGUCAAUCCUAGUUUUUGUCAUUGUAUAAUUGUCAAUCCUAGUUUUUGUCAUUGUAUAAUUGUCAAUCCUAGUUUUUGUCAUUGUAUAAUUGUCAAUCCUAGUUUUUGUCACUAUAAUUGUCAGUCCUAGUUUGCUUUAUCCCUGUAUAAUGGUCGGUCCCAGCCAGGCGCCUCUUCCAUGUAAAGAUAUCGGCAGCUUCAAGCCUUGCCGAUAUCUCAAUCCGUACGUGAAUGUAAAUUAACCGAAAUCCUUGUUACUAAGCUCUGCAUGGUGCUCUCUAACUUAAUGCUUCUUUAAAUUUUCAGUCUCACUUAACUUCCGGGGUUAGUACUAUAUUUUGCCAUAAGUUAACUCCCCGUGAUGGCCAGUUUCAUGUAAUAUAUAUAAGUAAUUUGCCUUUUGCAUGGCUGUAAUUCUGCAUCCGUGUCUAAGGCCCAGUUUCACAGUUCCUCAUGAUGGGUUAGUAAGCUCCGAAACCAAUACCAGAGCCUUCGAAAUUUCCUUGUACGGUGUCUGGAGUUUAUAUUCAAGUUCACAAAUUUGAUGAGACUAUACAGGAAAGGUCUUGUGUGUUUAUGGUACGAAGGAAAGGGAGGAGAAGGGAGAUGAGAUUGGGAGACGAGUGAGCCGAGAUCCUGUUUAUAUUCAAGUUCACAAAUUUGAUGAGACUAUACAGGAAAGUUCUUGUGUGUUUAUGGUACGAAGGAAAGGGAGGAGAAGGGAGAUGAGAUUGGGAGACGAGUGAGCCGAGAUCCUGUUUAUAUUCAAGUUCACAAAUUUGACGAGACUCUCCAGGAAAGGUCUUGUAUUGUCAUGAUACGAAGGAAAGGGAAGAGAAGGGAGACGAGAUUAGGAGACGAGUGAGCCGAGAUCCUGUUUAUAUUCAAGUUCACAAAUUUGACAAGACUAUACAGGAAAAGCUGUGUUUAUGAUAUGAAGGAAAGGGAAGAGAAGGGAGAUGAGUAAGCUGAGAUCCUGUUUUUAUUCAAGUCCACAAAUUUGACGACACAAUACAGGAAAAGCUCUUUGUAUUUAGUGUGUCAUCGAAGACCGCGCCAUUUUGAACAGUAUGGGAUUCUAUAGCUUGGUUUGGGAGUGUUAAAAAGACCAUGAUGGACUGUGGAAGCGGCCCUUAAUGUUCCCUUUUCUAAUAUGCCUCUCUGUUUUUCCAGGAUGCCGCGGACGGACCAUGCAGAGGACUCAUCGCGACGACACCAACGGUUUGGUUAAGUGGGUUCUCUUGUGUGUGCGUCUGUGUGUGAAUGGCAGGCCUGUCGUAUGAUUGUGUGUGUGUGUGCGUUGGCGUUAUGCCUUCGCACUAUUAUUUUGUUAGGAUGUAUUUUUGUGUGUGAACUUUUUGCACGUAAUCUUUUUUUAUACCCAUAGCUAGCGUUUGUUUGUGUGGCAGUGUUCCGGGAGAUGGACGCCGGGGGACAUGGGCUUGGGGAGGCGCACAUGACCUCCUCUGUCCGUGAUCUCUUCAGCUGGGGAGACCGUGUGUUGCCCCGCCUGGAGAGACACGUUGAUGGAGGUGGCCGUGUGUGUCACCCUUUGCCUGUAUCCUCUGGCGCCCAGAGGCGCGUAAGCGGAGAGCAUCGGCGCAGCGCGGGAGCAGCACGUCAGGGUGUAGGGUGUUUGUUUAGCUGGUGUAGGGUGUUAGGGUGUUAGGGUGUUAGGUGUAACAACGGUUGGCUCUUUCACAGAACGGGUGUGACUCCGUUCUGCGUUUGAGUCUUCCACCUUCAGACGGUCUCCCUCCGAGAUGUCUGAAGUUUUUUUUGUCGGUUUUCUCCGUAGGAGGAAGCCGACUCUAGCUACUCUGGCCUCUCUUCCGGGGGUCAGAGCGGUCGGGCUCUGCUUGGCCAGGCGUUAGUCUUUCGCGUUGUCUCCGCCGACGUUUUGCCAGACUCUUCCGUAAGGUUGAGCCUGGCUUUUUUAUUAGGUGGAUCAGGCUGCCUUCUUCCAAGGAGUCUGAU